CAGAAACCGAAAUAUUCAGUGGUCAAACACACUUUUUAUACGCCCGUCGUCUUUAGACGGGACGUAUUAUGGUAUACCGUUGUCCGUCCGUCUGUCCGUCCGUCGUCCACACUUCGGACAAUAACUCAAAAACGCUUUCACCAAUUUCCAUGAAACUUAAGUGAAUUGUUUAUAUCUAUUGACGUAAGCUCCCUUUCGUUUUUUUUUAAUUUCAAAUUUUAAGUUUUGGAUUUAUGGGGCUUUAUUCAUAAAAAAAGGGGGUCCGUUGUCCACACUUCGGACAAUAACUCAAAAACGCUUUCACCAAUGUCCAUGAAACUUUGGUGAAUUGUUUAUAUCUAUUGAUGUAAGCUCCCUUUCAAUUUUUAUAAAUUUCAGAUUUUAAGUUUUGGAUUUAUGGGGCUUUAUUCAUAAAAAAGGGGGAUUUUUAACACUUCGGACAAUAACUCAAAAAGGCUUUCACCAAUGUCCAUGAAACUUUGGUGAAUUGUUUAUAUCUAUUGAUGUAAGCUCCCUUUCAAUUUUUAUAAAUUUAAGAUUUUACAUUUCCGUGUUAUGAAUUUUUAUGCUUAAAAAAGGGGGGAUUUUCCAAUUUUGGGACAAUAACUAACACUUUCAAAAACAAGUUAAAAGAGCAACGGGCGUAUCAUGCGCUAAAGCGCAGCACUUUAUUAUCAGUACUGUUAUCAUUAUGUUGAGUGAAAUAAAUAUUAUGUUCUGUAGACUGAUCAUUAUGUUCAGUAAAAUAAAUAUUAUGUUCAGUUCAAACAACUUUAUGAUCAGUGGUCAAAAUGUUUUAUGUUUGGUUCAAAAAAUA
rnacentral:lncRNA from 1 species